rnacentral:misc_RNA from 1 species
GAUGAAGAACGUAGCGAAAUGCGAUACGUAAUGUGAAUUGCAGAAUUCAGUGAAUCAUCGAAUCUUUGAACGCAUAUUGCGCUCUCUGGUAUUCCGGAGAGCAUGCUUGUUUGAGUAUCAGUAAACACCUCAACUCCCUUUUCUUUUUUGAAAUUGGAGCUGGACUUGAGUGAUCCCAACGCUUUCUUCCAAGAAAGUGGCGGGUUGCUUGAAAUGCAGGUGCAGCUGAACUUUUCUCUGAGCUAUAAGCAUAUCUAUUUAGUCUGCCUAAAAAACAGAUUAUUACCUUUGCUGCAGCUAACAUAAAGGAGACUAGUUCUUGUGCUGACUGAUGCAGGAUUCACAGAGACAGCUUCGGCUGACUUUGUAAACUCGAUCUCAAAUCAAGUAAGACUACCCGCUGAACUUAAGCAUAUAAUAAGCGGAGGA